rnacentral:lncRNA from 1 species
AUUGUAGGUUUUAAAAAUCAUCUCUUCCUAACUCCUAACGCAAACAAUUUAAUCUGGCUUUUGAUAAUUCUUGUCUUUUCCUUUUCUUAUUGCUCAGGGAGACAGGGUUUUAGCUCCUGCAAAGAUACAAGAUGGAAAGGUUAUACCUCCUGCAGAGAUACAAGGCAAAGAGGUUAUACCUCCUGCAGAGAUACAAGGCAAAGAGGCAAAACCGAGUUCUACUUCUGACGAUUCACCUGCCCCAAGCUGGGGCCAGGUUUCUCCUAGGUCUCUUGUUGGAAAAUGGGUCGGUAUACAAAUGCCUUACGAAGACGAGCACAUUAGAUUCCUCAUCAAAGAGUAUGACGAGAAAACAGUAAGUCUCUUCAUGUUUACAUGCGUGUUCUUCGUCAGCUCAGGUCAGGUCUCAGCCCUUCUAAGAAAUAUAGUUUCCAAUCUAC